rnacentral:rRNA from 1 species
AAUGAACGCUGGCGGCGUGCCUAACACAUGCAAGUCGAGCGAGAAAGUCCCCUUCGGGGGGCGAGUAAAGCGGCGCACGGGUGAGUAACGCGUGGGUAACCUACCUUAGAGUGGGGGAUAACCAGCCGAAAGGCUGACUAAUCCCGCAUACGUCCAGCAGGCAUACGUCUGUUGGGGAAAGAUGGCCUCUGCUUGCAAGCUAUCGCUCUUAGAUGGGCCCGCGUUAGAUUAGCUAGUUGGUGAGGUAAUGGCUCACCAAGGCUACGAUCUAUAGCUGGUUUGAGAGGACGACCAGCCACACUGGAACUGAGACACGGUCCAGACUCCUACGGGAGGCAGCAGUGAGGAAUAUUGCGCAAUGGGGGAAACCCUGACGCAGCGACGCCGUGUGAGCGAUGAAGGCCUCGGUUGUAAGCUCUGUCAGAGGGAGAAAGGGAGUAUAGGUAGUACCAUGUCCAUUGAGGUACCCUUUGACGAAGCACCGGCUAACUCCG